rnacentral:lncRNA from 1 species
GUAUUCUGCACGGACUGCUGGGCAGCACUAGCACUCUGGAGAAGGUCUGCCGCUGUCUGCACUUUCCUGGUGAGAAUCCCCAAUGACAGUCCCACUUUUCAGUGGAGGAGAACAAAAUAUCUGUCUACUCUCUUGAAGAAGGACACGGCUUUGAUCAUAUUUGUUCAGGCUUGACUUGGCCGGAGGUUUUAGGUUCUUAGUCUCAAGUCAGCAGUCUCUCUCUCUCUCUCUCUCUCUCUCUCUCUCUCUCUCUCUGAAACACACACACACAGAGACGCACACACACACAAGCACACACAUACACAAGCGCAAAUCCUCUCUUUCUCUUUCUCUCAUUUCCCGUCAUAGGUUCUAUGCAGGCAGAUGAGUGUCACAGCUGUAACUGAGGCACAGAGCAGUACACACAGUGGAGCCGAUUUCCGCGAUGGCGAGAGGGGGCACCGGAGGUGACAACAAUAACAAGACUGUCCUUCGGACAAGUUUUAGAUUCUCAGGAUGAUGGAGUGAGUGAUGGAAUAGGUUGCCAACUGUAGUUACUCCACUCAGCACAGAAUGGCUGCGGGGAAAUAUAAUCAGACAUGCCCAAAGAAGUCUGCUUAGGGUGAAACAAAUACCUUUGAGGUUUAAAUCAGAAAGGAAGGAGAGACUGUUUCUACAGGUGUCAUACAAAAAUCAAUACUGAGCCAAGGAUUAUUGGAUCCCAUAGAACCACGGAGACUUGGUAGUGAAAUUCUUCCAAAGCAUUCCAUCCGUGCAGGCAGAUGGUGUUCCUAGGUUUGGAAAUAUAAAUCCCAUGGGAAGUCAGCUGAAGACCAUUUUAUGCAUCACUCAUCCUGUUAGAGCCCUGUGCUGUUCUGUCUCUCUAUAAGACUGGCUGAAACCACCACGGUUGUUUACAAUUUAUGCUCUAACUUUGGAUCACCUAGUUAAUACUCUAACUCCGAUUAUUACCAAAGACAAUGUUCUAUAAAAGAUAUUGUCUAUUAGAAGGAUGCUUCUGCAUUAUUAAUAAAAUCACAGGGAAAAUGCAACAUUUUGGAUGUCACAUCUGAUAAGUUGGCAGUUAAAGAACAGAAACAGCAAUAAGACUGCGUGGCUACAUUUUCCCAGUGCCACCAACUGGGAUUUAAGCUGACUAACAUUUUGAAAGCCCAGCCCAUUUCAUUCACAGCAGGAUGGCAGUGGGUGACUGAUCGUACCCGCCAGCUGGCUAAUGUCAUAAUUAACAAAGUUGCUACUACAUCUGCAAAGUUUAAUCGAAAAAUUUGCCAGUGAUAUGAUGGCCUUGUCACAGAGAUCACAAGGGACACGGAGUUGACUUUUGCUCAAGGUGGAACGACAGAGCUGUGUAGGCAAGAUGAGAAAUUGCGAACUUGUUCGGCCAAAGGAGGCUAAUAAUGAAGGGGCCGGGAAGGAGGCCAGUGCUACCAGGGUUAUCUCACAACCUCAGAUGCUGGAUAAGUCGACGGAGGCAGAAUCGCUUUGGGAUGACAUUCAGAAAGCCUGGAGUGAUUACUUGCAAGAGAAAAGCCUACCUAUUCUUUCCAAGGUGCAGGAAUAUUCCCCUGACCUGCUCAUCCAGUGGUCCAGUAAUGAAUUACUGGAGACCUGCCUUAGACAAAGAAUGCACUCGGAGCCCCAACACACCUAAAGCCAUGCUUUGAAGGAUCUGCCAAGCUCACUUUUAAUCAUGAGAAAGAAAUUACCCACACGGAGUCAGCAGAAAAUGAGAAAGUAGAGCUCGUGCUGUGAAUAAUUCCAGCAAGUGCCAAGGGGCUAGUUGAGGAAUGGCUUCAUGAGAUGUUAGUCUAAAACAGCACCUUGGAUCUAAGCAGCACCUUUGAGAAAGAAAAGACUGCUUCAAGAAUGUCUAGUUGCACCUCCUUUCCGUAUGUGGCCUAAAUGCCUAGGUUGGAUCAAUAGUUUAAUUUUUUUAUUGAACUGUUUAAUAUUGACUAUGGACUUACAUUCACUUUUACUGUUUUCUGUAUAUUUACUUUUGCUUGAAGUGUUUUAAUAUUGACUAUUUACCUCUGCUCAUUUUUAUUGAUUUUCUGUAUUUUUUCAAUGAAAAUUAUAAUAAAAAUUAUUUUUGUUA